rnacentral:sRNA from 1 species
UGCCGGUGAUAGCUUCCUCCUUAAGCAC